rnacentral:rRNA from 1 species
AUUGAACGCUGGCGGCAUGCCUUACACAUGCAAGUCGAACGGCAGCACGGGCUUCGGUCUGGUGGCGAGUGGCGAACGGGUGAGUAAAGUAUCGGAACGUACCUUUCAGUGGGGGAUAACGUAGCGAAAGUUACGCUAAUACCGCAUAUUCUGUGAGCAGGAAAGCAGGGGAUCGCAAGACCUUGCGCUGAUUGAGCGGCCGAAAUCAGAUUAGCUAGUUGGUGGGGUAAAGGCCUACCAAGGCGACGAUCUGUAGCGGGUCUGAGAGGAUGAUCCGCCACACUGGAACUGAGACACGGUCCAGACUCCUACGGGAGGCAGCAGUGGGGAAUUUUGGACAAUGGGGGCAACCCUGAUCCAGCCAUGCCGCGUGAGUGAAGAAGGCCUUCGGGUUGUAAAGCUCUUUCGGCCGGGAAGAAAUCGCAUGGGCUAAUACCCUGUGUGGAUGACGGUACCGGAAUAAGAAGCACCGGCUAACUACGUGCCAGCAGCCGCCGUAAUAC